rnacentral:rRNA from 1 species
UACGAAGGGUGCAAACGUUGCUCGGAAUCAUUGGGCGUAAAGCGUACGUAGGCGGCCUCGCAAGUCUGAUGUGAAAUCCCUCGGCUCAACCGAGGACGUGCAUCGGAAACUGCGGGGCUUGAGUACUGAAGAGGAUCGCGGAAUUCCCGGUGUAGAGGUGAAAUUCGUAGAUAUCGGGAGGAACACCAGUGGCGAAGGCGGCGAUCUGGGCAGAUACUGACGCUGAGGUGCGAAAGCGUGGGGAGCAAACAGG